GUCACUCCGUGGGGCAAAUUUAUACAAACCAUCGCACACAACUCCAAACAGUAAACAGUGAAAGGACCUUGGUUACCACGGCGAUGAUACAAUUCUCCAAAAGACCAUAUAAAUCUAUUAACCUAAUGGAAUGUGACACUGGUGUAUGCAAAUUUUGUUCGAGCAGAAAGUAAUUCUAUCCUCAAAACGACUUCUGUAAAAAGGUAAAGUACCCCCAGUACAACCCAUUUGAGAGCUGCAGUUACCAAAAACGAUCACACAAGCGAGUGAUUGAAACAAAUGUGGUCAUGGAAACAGUGAUGACUGAUUGUAUAGCUGGCUCGAUUGUUGCGAGUGGCUGUCGUCAAAGCAGCACGUCGCGAUGGCCAGUUUCAAUUGAACAAAUGACAAUGAAAGGAAAAUCCCUCACCGUCUCCCAUGCACCACGCUGCCAUUGCCAUAGAGACCAGUGAAAGGCAGCGUUGUUAUAUUUCUUGUUGAUUUGAGAGGCAACUGGCAUAAAAUACGAUCAUGAAAGUCAAGCUCAGACGACAAGAAAGAUGUUUUGACUCCGAUGAAAAACAGAGCGGUGGCACUCAACGGCUGAACAAGGUUAAGAGAAGCUGCAAGAUUUGGCCCUGGAGGAAUGAAAAGAAGAUAAAUUCAUGCCUCCCGCUCAUCAAUAAUGAAUGGGGAGCUGGAAUUAGCUGACGCGGGGAAAUAGAGGAGAGAGUGUUGCCGAUAGUAGGGAAGAAUCGACCACUUUUUGGAUGUUAUUGUUCUAAUGAGGGCUCCUUUGCGACAGAGACUACACAAGUUACUUCGUCAUCCACGGACACUCUCCACAUGUUUUCGCGGUGACAUCAUGUCUGGCAGGUGGCAUGUCCAACAGAGGAGAGUGAGCGUCAACUGUCGAGUGUGUAGACAGCGCAGGCCAGCGAAGGAGCACACUGCUGCAUAACCCAGAGUUGUUAUUUAGUAGAGCACGUAAUCAGAUUCUGCCACCAGCUGCAGGAAAAUGUCUGCACUUGCACUGGCGGCACAGAGUGCUGUUGGACAAGCGACCCAGCAUCAUGCCGCGUAGAGUCUUCUUCGUCAUGUCCAUUAUAAAAAAUAAAAUAAAAAAAAACAGCCACCCCCGACCUGACCCGCCGCUUUUCUGCCUGAGUGAGUGUCUCCCUUCCUCUCUGCGAGCCAUCCUGCGUCGCCUGUCAAGACACUCUCACGAGUGGGGCGCGGCACUCAUCCGACCCUCGCGUUCCCAAGUGAACUGCUCGUGCCACGCACAGGGAAAAAGCGGCAGUAAAAGCGUGCCUCAAUAGUCUGAUGCUGCAUUUUGACUCCAAUGUGUGCGUGCGCUUCCUCUUUAACUGAAUUCGUUGGAUGGAUGGAUG